rnacentral:rRNA from 1 species
AGCAGCCGCGGUAAUUCCAGCUCCAAUAGCGUAUAUUAAAGUUGUUGCAGUUAAAAAGCUCGUAGUUGAAUUUCGGGAUUUAUCCGUUGGUCGGGCUUUUUGGUCUGUACUGGCGUGAUGGAUUCCUACCUUCUGAAUAACCGGCAUGCCAUUAAUUUGGUGCGCCGGGGAAGCAGGACUGUUACCUUGAAAAAAUUAGAGUGCUUAAAGCAGGCUUAUUCCUAAAUACAUUAGCAUGGAAUAAUGAAAUAGGACGGCAUGGUUCUAUUUUGUUGGUUUCUAGGAUCACCGUAAUGAUUAAUAGGGAUAGUUGGGGGCAUUAGUAUUCAAUUGUCAGAGGUGAAAUUCUUGGAUUUAUUGAAGACUAACUUCUGCGAAAGCAUUUGCCAAGGAUGUUUUCAUUAAUCAAGAACGAAAGUUAGGGGAUCGAAGACGAUCAGAUACCGUCGUAGUCUUAACCAUAAACUAUGCCGACUAGGGAUCGGACGAUGUUAAGUUUUUUAAUGACUCAUUUCGGCGC